AACGAACGCUGGCGGCAUGCCUAACACAUGCAAGUCGAACGAAGUCUUCGGACUUAGUGGCGCACGGGUGCGUAACGCGUGGGAAUCUGCCCUUGGGUGCGGAAUAACUUCUCGAAAGGGAUGCUAAUACCGCAUAAUGUCGUAAGACCAAAGAUUUAUCGCCCAAGGAUGAGCCCGCGUAAGAUUAGCUAGUUGGUGGGGUAAAAGCCUACCAAGGCGACGAUCUUUAGCUGGUCUGAGAGGAUGAUCAGCCACACUGGGACUGAGACACGGCCCAGACUCCUACGGGAGGCAGCAGUUGGGAAUCUUGGACAAUGGGGAAACCCUGAUCCAGCCAUGCCGCGUGAGUGAUGAAGGCCUUCGGUUGGUAAACUCUUUCGUACGGGGACGAUAAUGACGGUACCCGUAGAAGAAGCUCCGGCUAACUUCGUU
rnacentral:rRNA from 1 species